UACGGCGAGUGAAGCGGCAAAAGCUCAAAUUUGAAAUCUGGUACCUUCGGUGCCCGAGUUGUAAUUUGGAGAGGGCAACUUUGGGGCCGUUCCUUGUCUAUGUUCCUUGGAACAGGACGUCAUAGAGGGUGAGAAUCCCGUGUGGCGAGGAGUGCGGUUCUUUGUAAAGUGCCUUCGAAGAGUCGAGUUGUUUGGGAAUGCAGCUCUAAGUGGGUGGUAAAUUCCAUCUAAAGCUAAAUAUUGGCGAGAGACCGAUAGCGAACAAGUACAGUGAUGGAAAGAUGAAAAGAACUUUGAAAAGAGAGUGAAAAAGUACGUGAAAUUGUUGAAAGGGAAGGGCAUUUGAUCAGACAUGGUGUUUUGUGCCCUCUGCUCCUUGUGGGUAGGGGAAUCUCGCAUUUCACUGGGCCAGCAUCAGUUUUGGUGGCAGGAUAAAUCCAUAGGAAUGUAGCUUGCCUCGGUAAGUAUUAUAGCCUGUGGGAAUACUGCCAGCUGGGACUGAGGACUGCGACGUAAGUCAAGGAUGCUGGCAUAAUGGUUAUAUGCCGCCCGUCUUGAAACACGGA
rnacentral:rRNA from 1 species